UGGACUGCUGUUCAGCUCCCAAACUCUCUACCUGUGUACUCCAGGUCCACACUGUCUGUGUGAAGGCCAUGCUGAUCUCUCAGAGACUUUCCCAGGCAUCUGAACCAAGUGAUCUUCUGCAGCCUGUUCUGUGCAGAAGAGAGGGAUGGAAAUGAGCCAUAGAGGAGCCAGGGAGAGGCUCUAGGGAAGAUCUUGCAGCAGAGAAACCAACAAUGAGACUAUAUCAGCUUCCUGCAAGAAGAAACAACCCACUCUUCACUCUGCUAAUGGAUCCUGAGAUCCAGAUUCUCCCGUCAAUGGGAAAUCAUUUGGCACUUGCCCUUUGCAGCAUCUAGCCUCUCCGAACUGUCAUCACCUGCUUGAUUAGGGAUGCUCCUGUAUCCCUGGCUGAUCUCCAGCUCACCAGAUAGCCAAGAAUGACCC